rnacentral:rRNA from 1 species
UCCCUCAAAACAUACGUUUUAGCCCCUGAAUUUAAGCAUAUUAAUAAGCGGAGGAAAAGAAACUAACCAGG